AUUGAACGCUGGCGGAGUGCUUUACACAUGCAAGUCGAACGGUAGCACGGACUUCGGUCUGGUGGCGAGUGGCGAACGGGUGAGUAAUGUAUCGGAACGUGCCCAGUCGUGGGGGAUAACGUAGUGAAAAUUACGCUAAUACCGCAUACGAUCUAUGGAUGAAAGCGGGGGAUCGCAAGACCUCGCGCGAUUGGAGCGGCCGAUAUCAGAUUAGGUAGUUGGUGGGGUAAAGGCCCACCAAGCCAACGAUCUGUAGCUGGUCUGAGAGGACGACCAGCCACACUGGAACUGAGAUACGGUCCAGACUCCUACGGGAGGCAGCAGUGGGGAAUUUUGGACAAUGGGCGAAAGCCUGAUCCAGCCAUUCCGCGUGCAGGAUGAAGGCCCUUGGGUUGUAAACUGCUUUUGUACAGAACGAAAAGGUUUCUACUAAUACUAGGAGCUCAUGACGGUACUGUAAGAAUAAGCACCGGCUAACUACGUGCCAGCCGCCGCGGUAA
rnacentral:rRNA from 1 species